rnacentral:misc_RNA from 1 species
UUAAGUUCAGCGGGUAUCCCUACCUGAUCCGAGGUCAAACUGUGAUGUGGGCUUGAUGGACGCCGAUCCGCCGGAGCCUCGAGAAGCGCAAUGUGCUGCGCGAGAAGCUGGCAAGACCGCUGCCAAUACCUUUGGGGCGAGUCCGCGCACGUAGCGGGACAAAACGCCCAACACCAAGCCAGGCUUGAGGGUUGAAAUGA